rnacentral:rRNA from 1 species
AACGAACGCUGGCGGCAUGCCUAACACAUGCAAGUCGAACGAGACCUUCGGGUCUAGUGGCGCACGGGUGCGUAACGCGUGGGAACCUGCCCUUAGGUUCGGAAUAACUCCCCGAAAGGGGUGCUAAUACCGGAUAAUGUCUUCGGACCAAAGAUUUAUCGCCUUUGGAUGGGCCCGCGUUGGCUUAGCUAGUUGGUAGGGUAAAAGCCUACCAAGGCUACGAUCCAUAGCUGGUCUGAGAGGAUGAUCAGCCACACUGGGAGUGAGACACGGCCCAGACUCUUACGGGAGGCAGCAGUGGGGAAUAUUGGACAAUGGGCGAAAGCCUGAUCCAGCAAUGCCGCGUGAGUGAUGAAGGCCUUAGGGUUGUAAAGCUCUUUUACCCGGGAUGAUAAUGACAGUACCGGGAGAAUAAGCUCCGGCUAACUCCGUG